rnacentral:lncRNA from 1 species
GGCAAAUGAACAUUCGGCGUAUGAGUGGUGAUUGGAUAGCUAGUGUUUGUAGGCUCUGUGCUCGCGCACCCAACUGCAGACCAACUAUCCUCCUUAGUUUCUUCACUAGCAUAGUUUUAUGCUUGUUGAACUGAUCUGGGGCAUGUGUUGCGUACCUAUCUGGAAGGAAUUGUUGCGGCAUCUCCUUCAGUGGGGAAGUCGUGAACACAUAAGCCGGCACUUGUGAUCCUUGCGUCUUUGCAUAAUUUAUUUAUUGUUCGCAAAGGUGAAUAAGCU